rnacentral:rRNA from 1 species
ACUCCUACGGGAGGCAGCAGUGGGGAAUAUUGCACAAUGGGCGGAAGCCUGAUGCAGCGACGCCGCGUGAGGGAUGACGGCCUUCGGGUUGUAAACCUCUUUCAGUAGGGAAGAAGCGAAAGUGACGGUACCUGCAGAAGAAGCGCCGGCUAACUACGUGCCAGCAGCCGCGGUAAU